UACAGAGGUGGCAAGCGUUGUUCGGAAUUACUGGGCGUAAAGGGCGAGUAGGUGGCCAUCUAAGUCAGACGUGAAAUCCCCCCGGCUUAACCUGGGAACUGCGUCUGAUACUGGACGGCUUGAGUAUGGGAGAGGAAUGUAGAAUUCCAGGUGUAGCGGUGAAAUGCGUAGAGAUCAGGAGGAACACCAGUGGCGAAGGCGGCCCUCUGGGUCGACCCUGACGCUGAGGCGCGAAAGCGUGGGGAGCGAACGGG
rnacentral:rRNA from 1 species